rnacentral:lncRNA from 1 species
CUAAGUCAGCUGCUCUCGGAUUGCGCGGCCAGAGAGAAACUGAGAUGGGGACAGAAAAGUGAGAGAGAGGGAAACAGGGUCAUCAUGUCCUGUGUCCCCAGGGGGUCAUCAUCUGGGAGUGGAGAGGACACUAACCUGCCUUAUGAGCAUUUCAAGAUUCUUGGGACAGAGAAACGACAAUGCAUCAUGGACAUUUGGCAAUGUCUGGAGACAAUUUUGGUUCUCACACUGGAGGGGCAUUACUGGAAUCAACUGGAUAGAAGCCAAGGAUGCUGCUAACAUCCUACGACGCACAGAGCACCCUGCCACAGCAAAGAACCAUCUGUUCCAAGCAAGACCAACGGUGCCGAGGACAAUCUCACAAAUUGAUAAGGAUUCACUCACUGCUAUUUUCUCCUUGUUUGGAAAAUAUGUAAUCAAGAUUUGAGCUGGAGUUCCCCGGAGUUCCACAAGGAGAUGAGGCUUCAGCAUCAUGUUCUUUACUCUAGUCAUUCCCCAGCUCCUCAAUGGGCCAGCAUCUUUG